CUUUAUCAAGAGUUACGAGGAAGAAAGAUAUUGGAAAGUUUAAAUAUAAACACUAGCUCUGUGACAAGACUAAGACAUUCAAAUGCACAGGAUUACGAAGAGAUAUUUGGGAGUAAACACUGUUUCAAGGCGCAUGUGGAGAACAUCAAAACUCAUUUACCAGAAAUCAACAACAAAAUAGCUCCUGAGAGCAAUGAUAAUCAUGAAAUUUUUUGCCCCGAAAAUCAAGACGAUCAGCUUCAGGUUCCCAGGAGCAUUGAAUCUUUUGUAUGUAACCAACCUCAAUAUGACGAAAGAAGCUUGGAGAUCUAGGAAAAUUAUCGCUCUGGUGCCUCCUUCAGAUUCUGAAGAUUCAGAGUUAGAGUCUGAGGACGAUGAAGAAGGAAGACUAUGUGCACGUGAUUACUUCAGGAACGACUCCAAUGGUUCUUUGCUUGUAAGAAGUGGUGCUUGGCCUGCAGUGUAUGACUUAUUGGAAGAUUUGAGUGACCUCGAAA